rnacentral:rRNA from 1 species
CCUACGGGUGGCUGCAGUGGGGAAUUUUGGACAAUGGGCGCAAGCCUGAUCCAGCCAUUCCGCGUGAGUGAAGAAGGCCUUCGGGUUGUAAAGCUCUUUCGCAAGGGAAGAAAACUUAUCCUCUAACAUAGGAUGAGGUUGACGGUACCUUGAUAAGAAGCACCGGCUCACUACGUGCCAGCAGCCGCGGUAAUACGUAGGGUGCGACCGUUAAUCGGAAUUACUGGGCGUGAUGCGUAAGCCAGAUGUUAAAUCCCUGGGCUCAACCUAGGAACUGCGUUUGAAACUACAAGACUAGAAUAUGUCAGAGGGGGGUAGAAGUCCACGUGUAGCAGUGAAAUGCGUAGAGAUGUGGAGGAAUAUCAAUGGCGAAGGCAGCCCCCUGGGAUAAUAUUGACGCUCAUGCACGAAAGCGUGGGGAGCAAACAGGAUUAGAUACCCCGGUAGUC